GUUAUAAAUUUCAUCUUCCACAUUGAUAAUCAAUCCAUUAGUUGAGUAUAACUUACAAAUAGCAUUGUCGUUAGCUUAUCCUAUUAUAUUAUUUGGGAAGUACAUUUUAAAUAUAACUUUAAUUUUUGUAAGUAACUACAUAUGUAUGCCAUUAGAAAUAAAAUUUUAAAGAGUAAAUUAAUUUAUCUCUUUAAGGAUUAAAA
rnacentral:sRNA from 1 species